GAUGAAGAACGUAGCGAAAUGCGAUAAGUAAUAUGAAUUGCAGAAUUCAGUGAAUCAUCGAAUCUUUGAACGCACAUUGCGCCCCCUGGUAUUCCGGGGGGCAUGCCUGUCCGAGCGUCAUUACAACCCUCAAGCUCAGCUUGGUGUUGGGCCCCGCCGCCCCGGCGGGCCCUAAAGUCAGUGGCGGUGCCGUCCGGCUCCGAGCGUAGUAAUUCUUCUCGCUCUGGAGGUCCGGUCGUGUGCUCGCCAGCAACCCCCAAUUUUUUUCAGGUUGACCUCGGAUCAGGUAGGGAUACCCGCUGAACUUAAGCAUAUCAAUAAGCGGAGGA
rnacentral:misc_RNA from 1 species